ACUACUCCAUGCAAAUUCCAGUCAUGGAGUGCCUGUCCUCUCUUCCUCCGUGUGUGACCUUGGUGCUGUACUGUGGGUCAGACAUGUCCUCAAGCGCGGGGUCCUGGAGCUGUGCACUGAUGACAGAGGCAGGGGCUAAUCUCGGCUGGGAGAUCACGCACUUGCCAGGCAAGAGGGACUGCUGCUUUCUACCAUGCAGAAUCAUCCCAGGGUUGUCAGGCUGAAUUUGUGCAGGGCAUUUCAUUCCUGGAAGGUGUUGGGGAUAUCUGCCUGCACCUUGGUGCCCACUGCAGCUUGACAAGAAUUAGAGCAGCUGUAGGAUGGUGGAGUCAUCCUGGCUUGGGGAGCUCACAUUUCCCUUUUUCUCAACACAGCCCUCUCUUGGGGUCUUGCAGACUGCGCUAUGACACUUUCCCAACCCACCCGUUUCCCUCUUUCUUGUGUUUUUUUCUCCCCAGGUUAGUGUUUAUUCUGCCUCAAUUUUCUCCAUUAUCUUUUCCUGCCCUCUGCAGCAUCUCUGCACAGAUUGACUGCAGAGAGCACUCGUACUCUGUAUUAAUCAUGCUAAGAGGAAAAAUGAGUAGAUAUUUCAAAGUAGAAUGGGAAAGAAGUAGUCCCUGCUCUAGCAGCAUAGCUCUUGUCUCUGCAAAUCCCUUGAUGUCUAAGGUUAGGGUGCAGUGUGGCCUGGACCAAUGUCCAGCUGACAAGCAUGUGAGUUGCUUAUAUUUUGGCUAUAACUGUUUGCUGUCUGUGCCCUCGGAGCAUUUAAUUACACACUUGAGUAAUUUUAGCAUAUGGCAUGAUUAAUGAGUAAUUUAAGUAAUUCCUCAAGCUGCCAGGACUCUAUCUGGUUGCAUUUAUAAAAUCCUCUAUACACAAGCAGGAGCACACUUGAGUGAAUUAUUUAGGGUUGUGCCUUUUCUUAUAUUCCUUUUAAACUGUACCAAGAGCUGGCAGCACUGCAGUGUGUGGUUGCUUUUAAAGCAGAGGCUCUCUUCUUGGGCGGACUGAAGUUACUGCAAAGGGCAGCUCUCGCCACUGGCCAGGCUGCGGCUCCUGGGGGCCAGCCCGGAGGUGAUGUGGGAAGAUGCUGGUGCUGCUCACACAUACCUCGCUUUCUUGGAGGUCGUGCGAAGCUGGAAGAAAACACAAUCUCAUUCCCAGUCACUGGAUUGCAGCCCCUCAAUUCCCACAGCAACCGGUCGGGAGGGUUAAUGGCACAGAUUGACCCUGCCUGUGGUAGGAGCAGGGAGGAGAAGAGGAGCAGGGCGGUGGAUGGGAUGGGCAGCCCUCACCCGAAGGGUGGCCUGGAAGCCUGCCCGGGAGCAGCUGCUGGCAGGCGGCUCCAGCGUGAAGGGCCAGCUUUGAUCUGCAAUUAAACACCACAGAAAGAGAAAGUAAAACUUCACUUUUUUUUUUUUUUUUUUUUCCUGAAGCAGCGUGGAUUUGUGCUGCCUGCCUGCCCGCAGCAGGGCACGGAGGUUGGGAUGGGGGCUGCCUGCGGGGUCCCGCAUGCCCCCUUCCUCUUAGUGGACAGCCUAUCAAAUAUAUAAGUUCAAUUUGAUUGGUGCGGGUAGGAAUAUCCCCAUUGGAAAGUGGGAUUUGGGAAGACUCCAUUGCAGACUCCUGCUAACCCAUCGUCCUACUUAACAAUGAACAGAAGAAUCUUCUUUUCUUCCACAAUAGCUUCAUUUGAUUCCAGGACAGCGGACGCCUUGCAUCUGCUCAUGCCCUUAAGCUGCUUCCUCACAGCAUCCCCUUUCUCCUGCUGCUGCCUGUAUUUUUUUUCCAUGUGUGCUGAGAGCAGUGAGGGACUCCAGGCAGGAUCUGCUGCUGCUGUGUGGGCACGUGGGAGAGGAAAAGCAAACAGCGAGAUGCAAGUGUGAAGGUUUUUUCCCAUGCCUCGGCGUUUCCUGCCCCAGUGAUGUUGCUUCUCAUGGGGAAACGGUGUAUGUUGCAGAGCCGCAGGGCAAGGGGAGAUGCUGUGAUGGCAUGAAAGCUUGCAUCCUUCUCCUCCUCUUCUGACUGUGAAGAUUUGGGACCUAUUCUGCCCUCCAGCCUGAGCAGAGGAGCAGGGAUCAUUCCGGUUGAUGCUGAUGGGAGCUGGGAGCACCAGGAGGAGGAUGUGGUGCUGGAGCUGGGAGGAGGCAGCUCUGGGAGGAAGCGCUCCAGAAUUCAUGACUACUGCCUCUCUUACCCACCCUGAGGCUGUGCAAGACGAAAAAAUUCCCUUCAGGUCAUUUGUUUUUUUCCCCCGAGGGCUGGAAGGGCAUCACACCCAGCUCCUGCCUCAUAAUCCUCACAGAGCUUCGUGUGAAUUAAUCACCUGUUUUGGAAAAUGAAGUCUGGAGAGCAUCCUGUGUUGAGUAGCAGAAGUUUCCAUGCCCGCAUCCCAUCUCACUUCAGUCCCCAGCUCCCUGGGGGCAAGGGACACUGGGAAAUUGGGACCACUUUUGCAUAGGCCACUGAAUGCAACCUGAGACGAGGUGACAGAGGCGGCAUUUGGGAGCGGCAUGAUGCAAGCCCAGCCCGAGCGAGGCGACACCGUCCAGCAGUCUGGAUGCUGCAUAUGACCCUACCUUUUUUUUUCUUUAUAAAUGGUCUUCACUCCAGUACAGAACGUCCUCUGACUUCUGAAGUAUUUGUAGUAUUUCCACGCCCUCAGUUGCCAAAAAACCUUCUAUUAAAAGCUUCUAUAUUUUUU